UCCAGACUCCUACGGGAGGCAGCAGUGAGGAAUAUUGGUCAAUGGGCGCGAGCCUGAACCAGCCAAGUCGCGUGAGGGAUGACGGCCCUACGGGUUGUAAACCUCUUUUGUCGGGGAGCAAAUUCCGUUACGUGUAACGGAGUCGAGAGUACCCGAAGAAAAAGCAUCGGCUAACUCCGUGCCAGCAGCCGCGGUAAUACGGAGGAUGCGAGCGUUAUCCGGAUUUAUUGGGUUUAAAGGGUGCGUAGGCGCCCGUGAAGGGCAGGGGAAAAAGGCGGGGGCCCGCCCCCCCCCCGCCGUUGAAACUGGCGUUCUUGAGUGGGCGAGAAGUAUGCGGAAUGCGUGGUGUAGCGGUGAAAUGCAUAGAUAUCACGCAGAACUCCGAUUGCGAAGGCAGCAUACCGGCGCCCAACUGACGCUGAAGCACGAAAGCGUGGGUAUCGAACAGGAUUAGAUACCCUGGUACA
rnacentral:rRNA from 1 species